GCUGUAUACAAACACUUUCUUUCCUUGAUGUCACUCUGUUCUUCCUUUAAUGUGAUUGGUCAUGCAAGGAAUUCUGCCUAGCAACAAGAGAACAAAAGCACUGAUUGGUGGAUUAGAAAAUUCGUCCUUUUGGCCUCGUCUAUUCGGUUGCUGACACCACAUUUCAAGACGGAAGUUUUUCUUCGUGUACUAUGUUGGGUGACAUGAGAUAAGAAGAUGUGGAAAUGUUUGCAUGUUCAACAGAAUUACGGACAAAAAUCUACAGCAGGAAUUCUAUGAAAACCUGGACAGACACAGUUCACGGUUCAUGGACCUUUUUACAACCAGAAGGGGGACUCCUGGUCAGCACUUGUUGAAGUUUUUACAGCAAAUAGAGAAUUUCAAGUUUCCCUCUAAAGUCAGACCAGCCAACUGA
rnacentral:lncRNA from 1 species